UACCACGGACACGGCCUUUCCUUAUCUCAUCUUUUCCAGCAAUUGUUAUGGAAAGGCACCGAAACCCUAAGAGUACAAAUAAUAACUGCGAGUUCCUUUCGUGGUCAAUAAAACUGGGAAACGUGCCAUUGAUUUCAUCGUAUUUUAAGUACAAAAUCAUGUUCUUCUGUUUCUUUCUUUUUUUUCCUUGUCAUUUUGUAAGCAUUUGUAGUCUCUUUCAU
rnacentral:lncRNA from 1 species